rnacentral:rRNA from 1 species
GGGGAAUAUUGGACAAUGGGCGCAAGCCUGAUCCAGCAAUGCCGCGUGUGUUUCCAAAGCCUUCGGGUUGUAAAGCACUUUAAGUUGGGAAGAAAAAACUCGCUCUAACACAGUGAGUCUUGACGGUACCGACAGAAUAAGCACCGGCUAACUCUGUGCCAGCAGCCGCGGUAAUACAGAGGGUGCAAGCGUUAAUCGGAUUUACUGGGCGUAAAGCGUGCGUAGGCGGUUCGUUAAGUCGGUUGUGAAAGCCCUGGGCUCAACCUGGGAAUUGCAGUCGAUACUGACGGACUAGAGAACGGUACAGGGAGGCGGAACUCCAGGUGUACCGGUGAAAUGCGUAGAUAUCUGGAAGAACACCGAUGGCGGAGGCAACCUCCUGGGCCUGUUCUGACUCUGAGGUACAAAAGCGUGGGUAGCAAACAGGAUUAGAUACCCUGGUAGUCCACG